rnacentral:rRNA from 1 species
ACGAACGCUGGCGGCGUGCUUAACACAUGCAAGUCAAGGGGGGCCCGCAAGGGUCAACCGGCGAACGGGUGCGUAACACGUGAGCGACCUGCCCAGUUGCGGGGGAUAGCCGGCCCAACGGCCGGGUAAUACCGCAUACGCGUCCUUGGGGGCAUUCCUGGGGACGGAAACCUACGGGGCGAUUGGAGGGGCUCGCGGCCUAUCAGCUAGUUGGUGCGGUAACGGCGCACCAAGGCGAUGACGGGUAGCUGGUCUGAGAGGAUGGCCAGCCACAUUGGGACUGAGAGACGGCCCAGACUCCUACGGGAGGCAGCAGUGGGGAAUCUUGCGCAAUGGCCGAAAGGCGGACGCAGCGACGCCGCGUGGAGGAUGACGCCCUUCGGGGUGUAAACUCCUGUUGCCCGGGACGAAUACCCGUGUCGACGGGGGUGACGGUACCGGGUGAGGAAGCACCGGCUAACUCUGUGC